AGGUACAGAGGGGUGCUACCGGGUGACCGGAUGCCGAUCUCGAAAACCUGUCCCAGUUCGGACUGGAGUCUGCAACCCGACUCCACGAAGUUGGAUUCGCUAGUAAUCGCGCAUCAGCCAUGGCGCGGUGAAUACGUUCCCGGGCCUUGUACACACCGCCCGUCAAGCCAUGGGAGCCGGGGGCGCCUGAAGUCCGGGACCGCGAGGACCGGCCUAAGGCGAAACUGGUGACUGGGGCUAAGUCGUAACAAGGUACC
rnacentral:rRNA from 1 species